rnacentral:rRNA from 1 species
UACAGGGGGUGCAAACGUUGCUCGGAAUCAUUGGGCGUAAAGCGCACGUAGGCGGUUCGUUAUGUCGGAUGUGAAAGCCCUUGGCUUAACCGAGGAAGUGCAUCCGAAACUGGCGAGCUAGAGUACUAAAGAGGAUCGCGGAAUUCCCGGUGUAGAGGUGAAAAUUCGUAGAUAUCGGGAGGAACACCGGUGGCGAAGGCGGCGAUCUGGGUAGAUACUGACGCUGAGGUGCGAAAGCGUGGGGAGCA